rnacentral:rRNA from 1 species
ACCACCGGGAUGUUCAUAACCCUUUGUUGUCCGACUCUGUUGCCUCCGGGGCGACCCUGCCUUCGGGCGGGGGCUCCGGGUGGACACUUCAAACUCUUGCGUAACUUUGCAGUCUGAGUAAACUUAAUUAAUAAAUUAAAACUUUUAACAACGGAUCUCUUGGUUCUGGCAUCGAUGAAGAACGCAGCGAAAUGCGAUAAGUAAUGUGAAUUGCAGAAUUCAGUGAAUCAUCGAAUCUUUGAACGCACAUUGCGCCCCCUGGUAUUCCGGGGGGCAUGCCUGUUCGAGCGUCAUUUCACCACUCAAGCCUCGCUUGGUAUUGGGCAACGCGGUCCGCCGCGUGCCUCAAAUCGACCGGCUGGGUCUUCUGUCCCCUAAGCGUUGUGGAAACUAUUCGCUAAAGGGUGUUCGGGAGGCUACGCCGUAAAACAACCCCAUUUCUAAGGUUGACCUCGGAUCAGGUAGGGAUACCCGCUGAACUUAAGCAUAUCAAUAA